rnacentral:rRNA from 1 species
GACGAACGCUGGCGGCGUGCUUAACACAUGCAAGUCGAACGAAGUGGCGAACGGGUGAGUAACGCGUAAUCAACCUGCCCUUCAGAGGGGGACAACAGUUGGAAACGACUGCUAAUACCGCAUACUGAAGGAGGGGUAUGUGUCGGAUUAGCUAGUUGGGGGGGGAAAGGCCCACCAAGGCGAUGAUCAGUAGGCGGUCUGGGAGGAUGGACGGCCACAUUGGGACUGGAACACGGGCCAGACUCCUACGGGAGGCAGCCGUGGGGAAUCUUCCGCAAUGGACGGAAGUCUGACGAAGCAACGCCGCGGGAGUGAUGACGGCCUUCGGGUUGUAAAGCUCUGUUAAUCGGGACGCGGUACCGGAAUAGAAAGCCACGGCUAACUACGUGCCAGCAGCCGCGGUAAUAC